AUCUUAAAAAAAAAAAAAAAAGGAAAUGUGACUGUGUGAAAAAAUUUUUUAAUAUUAAAGGCAUAAGCAUCAUCUGUGUCUUCCGCCUGCUGAGUGAAAUGUAAGGGCAAGGAGGGAGCUCCCUCAUGGAUGCAGUCUCCCCGGGUCUGUUCUCUGCAUUGAACCUGCUUGCAUGGACAGCUGUCCCUGGACUCCCCGUCCUCUGCAACCGCACCCUGCUCUCAGGCUGUGUGGUCUGCGCAGGGCAGAAGCCUCUCCCAGCUCUGGGAUUGGGCAUGGGACUCCAGCCUGGCCAAUCAGCAUAUCCCAUCCCCUGGCACUGUGAUUGGCUCAGGCAUAGGAACAUGACCUCACUGUAGCCAAUGAUAUUUCUUUCCUGCCGUUCUUCUCCUGACUCGGAAUCUUGAGGACACUGGGUUCCUGGAACCAGCCAAGCCUGAAGCCUUGGACGUUUUGAUGAUGUGAACAAAUCAAUCCCUUCUGGCUUUGGCUUUAUUGUUAUAAAAUAGAACACGGUUUUGAGCCUGGUGGUUCUAGACAAGAAGAAAUCUCUUGGCCCUGUGUAGUGAAAUGCUGUGAUUUAACGAGAGCAUCAACUCCAGCGUGGGUGUUCCAAAACAGGAACGUGAGAACCACAUCCGCCGGGCGCUGAUCUCGUCUAUCAACAUUUCCAUAAUCACUUGUGUUGCAUCACUUCCUGCCCCUCCUCCGGACACUGGGACUUUGCAAAUGUGAAGAAGUGGACAGGAAGUCUGGACUGGAGGCUGACACCGUGGCUCAAGGUAUUGUCAGGAGCUCUCUUUUUGUGCUGCCACCUGUUGUGGGUAGAGGUACUGUGGUGCCUCAAGGUCAAAAGAGGCUGCCAGAGCUCUCCCAUCACACCUCACUCUCUAAGGCGGCAAGAGGGAAGAGGUGGAGGGUGGAAUGGGCCCUUUGCCUCGGUCAUCUGGUCAAGGAAAGCAUUUCCGCACAACUACCCUUUACCUCUCAUUGGUCAGCACUGGGUCCCAUGCCUUCUUUCGUCAGCUCCUUGGCAGGAGGGGAUGUGAUUGGCUGAGCCUAUCAGGACUCCUUCCCCUGCCCUCAGGGCUCAGCCUGAUGCCACUCAAACCCAUGGGGAGUCUCUUGGGGAGGAAUUGAGGCUGCAUCUGAGUUUCUGGGGGUCUUAGGCUGUGCAGAGGCGAUCGUGGGUAGGAGAGGCAUAACCCAUCCAUCUUGGGGACUCAGAGACCCCUGGGGUCAGACUGCCUGGGUCACCUCUGACCCUGCCACUCUUAGGGGGCUGAUCCUAUGGCCACAGGCACAUUGUUCGACCUUCCCCGGGGCAUCAGUUCCCUCAACCAUACAGUGAACAGAUAGUUAUGAGGAUCCAAUGAAUUACAGUGUGUCAGCCCCAAACUACUGAAAGCAGGUGCUGUGACAGAAACUUGUACCCAAGCAUUCACAGCUGCACUACUCCCAGCGGCCAAAAGGUGCCAACGGUCCUGAGGUCCAGUAGCAGACGUGUGGAUACGCAAACAUGACCUAACCGCGGGAUGGACUAUCCUUCAGUUACAGAAACGGAAUGAGCUAGCGAUUCGUGGUUCAACAAUGGCUGCACCUCGCAAACAUGCUGAGUGCAGGAAGCCAGACUCAAAAGACCCCGUUCGUAUGGAGUGGGCAGCGCAGG